rfam:Amborella trichopoda AMTR_V1.0_contig_35628, whole genome shotgun sequence.
GUUUAAUGUACCCAAUGCAUUGGAUGGAUGCCGGGGCAUUGAGAAGGAAGGACGCUUGAAGAGGCGCAAGGCCAUGGGGAGAUACCAUCUGUGAUCCAUGGAUCUUCGAUCGGCUCCGUGGCUAGUCUAUGCUCUUUGGACUUUGAAAGCUUAGCAAACUAAAACAUCUGAGUAAUUAAAAGGAAGGGAAAUCAACCGAGACCCCAUUAGUAUCUGUGAGCGAGAGCGGAUUGGGGCUUUGAAGAAAAAGAAACACGAAGCUUCCCACUUUGCUUCGCACUAGCGAAGCAAAGCAAUUCAAUCUUCUUUCAUCAGCGAAAAGGAAAGAAGCAAAGGUGCGGAGCCGCUUAGCCUAAUUCCUCUUUCUUCGCUCAUUGCUCGCUCAGUGCUUAAGCACUUCGCUUCCUUUCCUAUUAGGCUCGUUUCGUAGAAUUGCACUCGUUUAAAUGUAACUUGUUCUAGAUCGGCCUAACAAACUAGUUUUCAUAGGCUCUUAUUAAGCUCACGUAACUCGCUCUCGUUGGUUUCAUUCGAUUUGUUGUGGAUUGGAUGAUGGAAAAACAGUUGGUCCGAGAUUUGUGAAAAGGUUGGAAGACCUAGCCAAAGAAGGUGAUAGCCUUGUAGAUUCGUUCCCAUGGUUUGAUCCUUCCCAGUAAAACACGGCGUGUUCGAAUUCUGAUAUCUUUUACGCAAGAAAGGGGGACCACCCUCUAAGCUUAAGUCUUUCUCAAUGACCGAUAACAUACAAAUACCGUGAGGGAAAGGUGAAAAGAACCCUAUUUAGGGAGUGCAAUAGAGAACCUGAGAUUCGAUGCAAACAAUCAGUCGAAGGAGAGGAGCUUAGAGUUAAACGAUGGGCGCACUCACUCUAAUGGCGUACCUUUCGCAUGAUGGGUCAGCGAGGAAAUGGGAACAACGGCUUAAGCCAUUAGGUGUAGGCGCUUUCUAGAGGUUGAAUCUUCUAGUUGGUCCUAUUUGACCCAAAACCGAACGAUGUAGCCAUGAGCAGGUUGAAGAGAGCUCUAAUAGGCCUUGGAGGACUGAACCCACAUAUGUGGUAAAAUACGGGGAUGACCUGUGGCUAGGGGUGAAAGGCCAACCAAGAUCGGAUAUAGCUGGUUUUCUACGAAAUCUAUUUUAGUAGAGCGUAUGAUGUCGAUGGCCUAAGGUAGAGCACUCAAUGGGCUAGGGUGGCCCCCAAAAAGCUUGACCAACCCCAGGGAAACUCCGAAGACAGGCCUAGAUCGUUUGUACAGAGAGACCCUUUGGGUGCUUAGAUCCAAAGUCGAGAGGGAAACAACCAAGAUCGUAUGCUAAGGUCCCUAAGCAAUCACUUAGUGGAAAAGGAAGUGAUCAAGCGAUGACACUCAGGAGGUGGACUUGGAAGCAGCCAUCCUUUCAAGAAAACGUAAUAGCUCACUAGUCUAGCUCCAUGGCACCAAAAUGUAUCAGGGCUCAAGUGAUUCACCGAAGUGACGAGACCUUGAAAGCAUUUUCAAGUGCCAGUAGUGGGAAAUUCUGUCAAACAGGGAAGGUUUUCGGUGACAACACCUAGAGAUAUCAGAAGUGAGAAUGUUGACAUGAGUAACAAGAAAUCCUAUGAAAAACACGAUCACCUGUUAGUUCAAGGCUUUUUGCAUUUAGCCAAUCUAUGCGGAGUGAAUCGGUCCCUAAGGAAGCCCCGAAAAGGCUGCUGUCCGAUGGGUACACGAGAGUGAUGAAGUUGCUUUGACUGCUGAAUCAUGCAUAUCUGUUGGAGCCAAUUGGAUGAUCGGGCCGAGGGCUGCCCCCUCUUCCCCUCACUCUCCUUUCCCUAAGAUGAACCUUGAGUCAGCAAAGCCUUCUUGACGCGGACGUGCCUGGACCCCUAAGCUACUGGCGCUUCAAAAGGUGAAACUCUUGUCAUAGUUUGACGACCUAAGAACAAAGAAGUCAGCUGUUCAGGUAGUGGCAUGGCAAGCAAGGAGCAAAGCCAGUAGUAGCAAUGUCAAAUCACUCAUUGUUGAGGGUGGGUUUUCUUUUAGAAAAAGCGAUUGUUGAAGAAACGAAGAAAACUAUACUAAGCAACCAAGCAACGAGAAAGUGCGCUAGCACAUCCGUUUUCUUACUGCGAAGUAGCGCAUACGUUUUCUUACUGAGAAAAAAACAAACCAACAAAUGCAAGCAAGAAAAUGGAUUCGCGGAGCGUUAGCGCCCUUGCUUCUUGAAAGAAAACGGAUGCACUAGCCGCGCGGCCCAUUAGCGCCCUUGCUUCUUGCUUUUGAGCCUACGCUUGCUGGUUUUUUUCACUUGCAAAGCACUCGCUCGUUAGAGCGAGUGCUUUGCUGUUGCUUUGCACUCGGUCCAAGCUUUUGGGCAAAAGAAAAAAGGGCUCUUGACUACUUGGGCUUUGACAAGACUUAGCUAACCUAACGACUGAACUCGCGCAGCAAAAAGGGCUCUUUACUACGUACUUGGUUUGGUUGGGCUUUGACGUUGAGCUAACAACUGAACUCACUGGGGCUUUGCUCAUUGCAUCAAAGCAGCACUCUAUUGGGUAGCAGCAAAAAGCCCUCAAGAGGGCUUUGAAAAGACUUAGCUAACGACUCAACUCACUAGGGCUCGUUGGCUACAAAGCAAAUCGCUUAUGAGGGCUUUGCAAAAAGCAAAGCUCUUGUUUGAGAGUGCCCAGCAAAGCACUCAUAAGCGAUUUGCUUUUUGACAUCAAACGCCUUGCCAAUAGUUUGACCUUGCUACAUGGAGUAGACUGAAUGAGCUAGGCAGACACUUUGAGUUAUCUAAAGCGAAGAGAGACGAAGACUCAGCCCAACAGGCUCUCUUUCCCAUAGAUGAGCUCCGGCUCCGUGCACCUGCUGACACCUUUAUAAGCACUUUCUAGUGUGAACCCUUCGGACGCCUUUCUCAUUUCAGUGCUCUCCUUUUGAAUCUUCAGUAGGGGCCUUUAGUCUUAAAAUAGGGGUCACGAGAGAACCAUGUCGAAGGAACUUGAAAAAAUGACCCCGUAACUUAGGGAUAAGGGGUACUCUCCUAUCUUUUGAUUAGGAGGGCGGCACAUACCAUGGGGUAGCGACUAUUUAUUAAAAACACAGGACUCUGCUUAGUGGUAACACUAUGUAUAGAGUCUGACACCUGCCUAGUGCUGGAAGGUAGGAAGGCAAUGUCUUAUAAGCUUUGAAUGGAAGCCCCGAUAAUGGCAACAGUAAAUCUAACUAUCCUAAGGUAGCAAAAUUCCUUGUUGCAUAAGUAGCGAUCUGCACGAAUGGUGUAACGACUGCCUCGCUGUCUCCGACAUGGACCCAAUGAAAUUGAAUUGUCCAUGAAGAUGUGGAGUACCAACAGCUAGACGGUAAGACCCCAUGCACCUUGAUUGAAUGUGUAGGAUAGGUGGGAGGUGGUGACACAAAUCUCCCAAUCCUAAAAGACCACUCGUUCGUCUAAGGAUACCUAACCGCCACACUGAUCAUUUGGGGGAGGGGGGGGGGGGGGGGACAUUAUGAGGUGGGUAGUUUAUCUAGGGCAGAUGCCUCCUAAAGAGUAACGGAGGUGUGCGAUGGUAGGCUCAAGCUAAGAUUAUGCUCGUGAGCAUAAUGGUAUAAGCGUGCCUGACUGUGAGACUGACUGGUUGAACAGAGACGAAAGCUGGCCAUAGCGAUCCGGGAGUCUCGUGUGGAAGGGCUCUCACUCAACGGAUCAAAGGUACGCUGGGGAUAACAGGCUGAUGACUCCUAAGAGCUCUUAUCGACGGAGUCGUUUGGCACCUCAAUGCCGACUCAUCACAUCUUGGGGUUGAAGAAGGUCCCAAUGGUUCGGUUGUUCGCCGAUUAAAGUGUUACAUGAGUUGGGUUUAGAACGUCAUGAGACAGUUCGGUUCCUAUCUACCAUUGGUGUUAAAGGGAGGACUACAAGGAGCCAAACCUAGUACGAGAGGAUUGGGUUGGGCCAACCUAUGGUGUACCGGUUGUUAUGCCAAUAGCAGCGCCUGGCAGCUAAGUUGGUAUGGAAGAACUGCUGCACCACAUCUGAGCAGAGCUAUAGGCUCACUCUCAAAGCAACAAGAGGAUUUUACGAUAGUUUAGUCACUCGUUGUCUUAAACGUUGGAAAUCAUUCUCUAUACAAGUUCUUGUACAAGGUUUUUUAACAGAACUUCGAUAGGCGAGAGGUGUAAGCACCGCAAGGUGUGAAGUGAUCUCGUACUAAACGAAACUACUUUCGAUCU